GGAAGCCGAGCCCAUAAAACCACAGGCCAGUGGCGCAAGAGGAACCGUCAGGGAAUCAUCAGAGUCAGCAGGAUUCAUCCUCUGGGGAACAACAAUGUUUCAGAAAAAGUUUGAGCAAGUCCAUCCAAUAGAUGUUAAGAAGUGGAAAUUUUUACCUACAAAUGGUGCAAGAUGAAAAGUUACAGGAUCAUCACAUUCAUCAGGAUUCAUCCUCUGGGGAACAUGAAUGUUUUAAUAAAAGUUUGUGACAGUCCAUCCAGUAGAUGUUCAGAUAUUUUUGCUGAAUAAAUGGAAAUUUUGACCUGCUGGUGAUGAAAGACAAAAAGUCAGGAAAUUAGCAAUUUCAUCAGGAUUCAUCCUCUGGGGAACAUGAAUGUUUUAAUAAAAGUUUGUGACAGUCCAUCCAGUAGAUGUUCAGAUAUUUUGCUAAUUAAAUGGAAGUUUUGACCUCCUCAUGGUGGAGGACAAACUGUCCAUGAACUCAGGCUUCACCCUUUGGGGAACAUGAAUGUCUUUGGAAAAUGUUUUGCCAAACGCAGGUUUUUACAACUACUACCACUAACCUUUGCUUCUCUUCUGUCUACAGAAAACUUAAUCGUCUACAAAGUUUUGUAUUGCGUUACAAGCAAUAAGGUGCAUGAAUAAAUCAGAAGAGACUGUGUGUUAAUCUCUAAAGACAGACGACAUCUGGAAGGUUUUGUCUCAACUGUUGUUUUCCACAGGAUUUAAAGUUUGGAGAAACAGUAGUUCUGGUUCUUGUAUAGAGAAGGUUUUGGACGAGGUUCUGGACAGUCCUCGUCCUCUGACAUGUCUACAGACUGUUGUCUCCAUCAGGAGUGGGUUUCCCAGGCAGCAGGAUAGGAUGACAGCGGCAGGAAACCAGAUCCAGCUCGGCGAUUAUCUGAGGUGUCUGUCGGACGGCUCUCCUCCUCAGCAGCCCGUCCUGCCAAAUGAGAUGCCGGUUGUUUCCAUGGUUCUGUUGUUUACAGUGUGAGGUGUGACAGGCUGCAGGGUCACAAACUGAUCUGAGCUCAGAUGCUCACACAUAGAAAAAAUAGUCUGAAACCAUUCGACCUUCUGACAAGGGCUUCUUAAGAGUGACCAGCACUCGAUGCUUUAUUUGCAUUAUCACUGUGACUCUUUAGCCUUGUUAGCCAGUUUGACCCAGAAUCAUUAAAGAAGAAUGGUCAGUUUAGCUUAGCACAAAGACUGGAAGCAGGGGGAACUGUUAGCUUAGCUCAAUUAAAAGGGGAAACGUCUACCUCUGUUAUAUCUUGCUGGCUAACCAGCUAGUUACCAGUCCAUCCUGUAGUCAGCUGGGUUUAGCUGACAUCCAAAGAACAACUCCACUAUGAGCUCGAGACUUUAGAGAUGCUAACAAAUAGCUUCAGUAAAUAAAAAACGCAACAUCUCCUUUUUUCUUGUUGUGUUUGCAUUUAAACAACGAAGAGUAAAUGAGAGACAAGUCGCCUAAAGGCGGGUUUUCCCUCUUCUGAUGGAACCUGGCGAACACUUUCCCCCUGCUUCCAGUCUUUGUGCUAAGCUAGGCUAAUAGAUUAACUGAUAUCAACUCUGAUACAAUAAUUAAUGUGAAAUCAUAAAAAAUAAUAAUAUUAUCAUUAUUCAGUAUGAUCAUAUUCAGAUUAAUCAAAUCUACAAAAAAACUGGAGCAAAUCUAAAUUAAAUCACCGUCACUGAGACUUUAUUACAGUUACUAAUGAGUCUGUUGUUGUUGUUGUUGUUGUUGUUGUUGCUAAUGGAAGCAGGGCUGCUGCAGGUUGUCAUGGUGAUGAAUGAGUCACGCUGGACAAACACUGAUAAGUGUCUGUGUCUCACCGACCCUCCAUCACACUGACCGCCCACACAUCCGGCGGAGCUCAGCCGGCUAACGGCUCUCACUCUCCGCAGCUCCGGUGCGCGCUGGCCGCCGGGCGUGUCUCCGCGCGGCUGAUGGGGAUUCCGGUUUUUCCAGUCGGAUCCUUCUGGUUUAAACCGCAGCAGCUCUGAGUCCCGCGUCAGUCUGAGCAGCAGCAGCAGCAGCAGCAGCAGCAGCAGCAGGAACAGGAUGGCCUCCAACACCGCCACCAUGGGGAACCUCCCCAGCGGGAUCGGAAUAUGUACGACCAUCCCCGACAUCCUCUACCUGCCGGAACUGAUCUUCGGGGGUCUGGUCUGGAUCCUGGUGGCGUGCACGCUGGUGGUGCCGGCGAACCCUCAGGGCUGGGUCAUGUUCGUCUCCGUCUUCUGCUUCAUCAUGACCUUCAUCUGGACGGUGGUGUUCGCCUGCGGGGGGCAUCACAACAAAGGCAGCUGGGCCGCAGCCGACUUUGCGUAUCACGGCAUCGCCGCCUUCUUCUACCUCAGUGCUUCAGUUUCUUUGGCCAAAGUGACCCUGGACCUGCAAGAUGACAGCCAGAACUUCCAGAGCUACCAGCUGGACAUCUCUGCAGUGGUGUUCUCGUACGUGGCGACUCUCCUGUACUUCAUCCACACCAUCCUGUCCGCCAUCCGAUGGAAAUCUUUCUAGACCCCCCCCCCCCCCCCCCGCAGAGCCCGGGGAGCAGCGCCAGAACAGAACUGAUUUUUAUUCAUGAAGCCUGAACAUGAAGCUGUGGCUCGCCGGCAUGAAGGGAGGGGGACGACUGUGGAGCAACAUCUGGAUCACUGCAGCUGUGGCAGUGAUCCGAAGUGAUGGAGGACAGCGUCACAGCUGACAUCACACACAACAGCUGUUUCUGCUGAGGCUGUAAAUACAAACAACAACAAGCAAACAAACAAACAAACAAACAAACAAACAAACAAACAAACAAACAAACAAACAGCUCACACAAUGUUCACUUAUUUACUGCACCAAAAAAAAACUUUGUCGCUUUGAGCAACUCUCCAUCAGACAAAGAUGCGAUGGACGCCGCCAUCUUAAAUCACAUGAUGCCGAUCACAUGACGAGAGCAGCCGUGCUCCAAACGUCACUGUUAUUUGUUUGUUUGUUUGUUUGUGUUGAGCUUUGAACUCUGAUUGGUCGGCAGCUGCAGAACAGUCUCCGCUUCAGAUCGAAAAAACAUGUGAAGUCAGGUGCUGGAAAAGCUGAACAUCUGUCUGACAAGAACAACAUCACUACGGACGUCACCUGAUCAGAACCUGGAAACCACAUCAUCAUCAUCUUCAUCAUCAUCAUCAGCAGCAGCAGCAGCAUCAUCAUCAUCAUCGUAGACCUUUUAAUCACUGAACUGAUGUAUCCAGAGUAAAUUAAGACAGGUAACCGCGCUGCGUUGCAGGGGUCUCCAUGGUAACAGGUGAUGGAUCUUGACACGUGUAAAUAUUUCAUCAGGUGAAGCAGAGAGGUCGGAGGUCACACACCACUGAGAGGAAAACUAAACGAACUACAAGUGGUGUCAGGUGUUGUGGGGGGGGGGGGGGGGGCGUGUCCUGCAGGUAUUUGAAGAGUUAUUUAUGUUUAAUGAACUCUUACAGUUUCUGUCUAUCUUUAUUAAAAAUGUUUUCCUGUUUUAACUCAGCUGGUCGUAUGAACCUGAUUAAACUGUCCUGUAACGCUGGGGGAGGAACAAUGUUCAGGUGUGGAGCAUAAACAGCAGCUCAGAACAUGAAACCAGGUUUAAUGGGGUAUGGCAGGGAGUAAAUACAGGGCAGGCCUACACGCACGCACGCACGCACGCACACACACACACGCAC